rnacentral:rRNA from 1 species
CAAUAGCGUAUAUUAAAGUUGUUGCAGUUAAAAAGCUCGUAGUUGGAUUUGUGGUUCGUCCCGCCGGCUGGGUCAUUGACUUUUGCUGUGCUGGUCGUCCAUCCUUGGGUGGAAUCUGUGUGGCAUUAGAUUGUCGCGCAGGGGAUGCCCAUCGUUUACUGUGAAAAAAUUAGAGUGUUCAAAGCAGGCUUAUGCCGUUGAAUAUAUUAGCAUGGAAUAAUGAUAUAGGACCUUGGUACUAUUUUGUUGGUUUGCGCAUCGAGGUAAUGAUUAAUAGGGACAGUUGGGGGUAUUCGUAUUCCAUUGUAAGAGGUGAAAUUCUUGGAUUUUUGGAAGACGAACUACUGCGAAAGCAUUUACCAAGGAUGUUUUCAUUAA